rnacentral:antisense_RNA from 1 species
UUCAGUACGACAUUGCUCACAUUGCUUCCAGUAUUUCUUGCCCACUCUAAAGUGGGCUUUUUUU